rnacentral:rRNA from 1 species
CCUACGGGCGGCAGCAGUGGGGAAUAUUGGACAAUGGGCGAAAGCCUGAUCCAGCCAUGCCGCGUGUGUGAAGAAGGCCUUCGGGUUGUAAAGCACUUUCAGUGGGGAAGAAAGCCUUGGGGCUAAUACCCUCGAGGAAGGACAUCACCCACAGAAGAAGCACCGGCUAACUCCGUGCCAGCAGCCGCGGUAAUACGGAGGGUGCGAGCGUUAAUCGGAAUUACUGGGCGUAAAGCGCGCGUAGGCGGUCUGAUAAGCCGGUUGUGAAAGCCCCGGGCUCAACCUGGGAACGGCAUCCGGAACUGUCAGGCUAGAGUACAGUAGAGGAAGGUAGAAUUCCCGGUGUAGCGGUGAAAUGCGUAGAGAUCGGGAGGAAUACCAGUGGCGAAGGCGGCCUUCUGGACUGACACUGACGCUGAGGUGCGAAAGCGUGGGUAGCAAACAGGAUUAGAUACCCGGGUAGUC